CCGGGUGGCGUCCCUCGUGGCCCACCCCACCUCCUUCCGAGCUCCGAGGAGCGAUCGGCAGGGCGCGCCUCUGGCCGCUUUGUCGCGACGCGCGUUCGCUCCAAUCCUGUCGCGGCCAUUAAAAGCCUUCCCGGCUUUCCCGCUCAGCUCGUCUCUUCCAGAAACGUACCUCGUCAUCUCUUCGCCUUCGCUACGCAAUUCCGAUCCACGCUGCGGGCCACUUGUGACGACUGGCGGAACCCGCGAGAAACAGAGGCGGGCGAGCGGCGAUCGGAGAUGGCGCCGGAGAAGCCCCGGAAGGAACAGGAGGAGGAGUUGAUGCUGGAGGAUGGAGGCAUCGAGGAGAGCCCGCGCCGCAGCUUCGAGGACUGCGGCGACUCCGAGGAGGACCGCGGGGAGGGCGAUGACGAGGAGGAGCGGGACAGCGACCGCGACGGCGUCGGUUCGACGCGCUCCUUCCUGCCCCAAAAGUGGCCGCAGAGCUACAGGGAAACAACUGACACCUACACAAUCGCUGCAUCACCGAGCUUUGGUUACUUAGGUUCUUCUACAAGCAAAUACUCGCUCCUCGACCUUGGUCGCAGUAUUCUGGGCUCUGACCUGAAGUCACCUCUAAUAUCGGCCAAGGCUGAUUCUGUCAGAAACUUGCCGAAAACCCUUGGUUCAAUGAGAGAUGGGAGAGUCUCGUUUCAAUUGCAACACACGGGAGAAAUCUACAUUAGUCAAGGGUGCAAUGUGACGCAAACAGUCUUCAACGGGAUUAAUGUGCUUGCUGGUGUUGGCCUUCUUUCCACUCCGUUUACAAUUCAUGAAGCUGGAUGGACUGGCCUUGCAGUUCUAGCAUGCUUUGCGAUUGUUUGCUGUUAUACUGGAAUUCUUCUAAAACAUUGUUUUGAGAGCAAAGAUGGUAUCUCAAGUUAUCCAGACAUUGGAGAGGCUGCAUUUGGAAGAAUUGGCCGUGUGUUGAUAUCUAUUAUUUUGUAUACCGAGCUAUAUUCAUACUGUGUGGAAUUCAUCAUUUUGGAGGGUGAUAACCUCACAUCAAUUUUUCCUAAAGCUGGUUUUGAUUGGCUUGGGAUUCAUGUUGAUGGAAAACAUUUUUUCGGAGUGUUAACUGCUAUUUUAGUCUUGCCAACAGUAUGGCUGCGAGAUCUUCGAGUACUCUCGUACCUUUCAGCGGGUGGUGUGAUUGCAACUCUUCUCGUAUUCCUGUCCGUUGGUUUAGUCGGUGUUACCGAUGGUAUAGGCUUCCAUUCAACUGGGAAGGCAGUAAACUGGAGUGGCAUGCCUUUUGCCAUUGGUAUUUAUGGAUUUUGCUACUCCGGGCAUUCGGUAUUUCCAAAUAUCUACCAGUCAAUGUCCGAUAGAUCUAAGUUCCCUAAGGCACUGUUCAUAUGUUUCGCAAUUUGCACAGCAAUAUAUGGCUCUUUUGCUGUCAUUGGCUUUCUCAUGUUUGGAAAGAACACUUUAUCACAAAUCACUUUAAACCUUCCAAAGCAUUCGUUUGCCUCAGAAGUUGCACUAUGGACCACGGUGAUCAACCCUUUCACCAAAUUUGCCUUGUUGUUAAACCCAUUAGCUCGGAGUUUAGAAGAGUUGCGUCCUGAAGGUUUUAUGAACGAAACAUCAUGCGCUAUUAUACUGAGGACUGCCCUUCUUGCAUCAACUGUAUGCAUUGCCUUUCUUCUGCCGUUCUUUGGUCUUGUGAUGUCUCUCAUUGGAUCUCUUCUUAGUAUACUUGUGUUCACAGCCGCGUACAGAGCUAUAUGACAGGACUUUCUGAUAUGCAAUGCGUUGUUAUUUCGUUUGUGGCCUAAGAAAGAGGAAGCAUGGAUGAUAGAUUAAUCGUAUUUUAUUAUGCAAUGCGAUUAAUUAACGAAUGUAUACUUCCCAUAAUCACAGGCAGUCAUAAUGCCACCCUUGUGUUUCCUGAAGAUCGCGCAGAACAAAGCAACUUGUGCACAGGUAAUCGCAAGCAUUUGUAUCGUAAUGUUGGGCGUCAUCAGUGCUGCCCUGGGGACAUACUCCUCCGUGAAAAAGAUUGUAGAAAACUACUAAGCUCUUCGACAAUAAUUGCCUGCCUGCACCAGACUCCACGUAUGGAACUCGAAAUGGUCAGGUUUUACUGUACGACCAAAUUUUUACUAGAACUACCGGAUUUCCUGUACAUUAUUGCUGCUGUUAUUAUUCGGACCACACUAGCCUACUAAAAAGGAACACUUCCAAUAAUGUAAUCUUGCGCACCUUUACCUGAGUUCUUUAUCAUUUAGUUGUACUGUA